rnacentral:rRNA from 1 species
GCGGCGUGCCUAAUACAUGCAAGUCGAGCGAAUGGAUUAAGAGCUUGCUCUUAUGAAGUUAGCGGCGGACGGGUGAGUAACACGUGGGUAACCUGCCCAUAAGACUGGGAUAACUCCGGGAAACCGGGGCUAAUACCGGAUAACAUUUUGAACCGCAUGGUUCGAAAUUGAAAGGCGGCUUCGGCUGUCACUUAUGGAUGGACCCGCGUCGCAUUAGCUAGUUGGUGAGGUAACGGCUCACCAAGGCAACGAUGCGUAGCCGACCUGAGAGGGUGAUCGGCCACACUGGGACUGAGACACGGCCCAGACUCCUACGGGAGGCAGCAGUAGGGAAUCUUCCGCAAUGGACGAAAGUCUGACGGAGCAACGCCGCGUGAGUGAUGAAGGCUUUCGGGUCGUAAAACUCUGUUGUUAGGGAAGAACAAGUGCUAGUUGAAUAAG